UACGAGGGGGGGCAAGCGUUGUUCGGAAUUAUUGGGCGUAAAGGGUGCGUAGGCGGUGCGGUAAGUCUGUUGUGAAAUCUCCGGGCUCAACUCGGAGUCUGCAUCAGAAACUGCCGUGCUGGAGUGUGGGAGAGGUGAGUGGAAUUCCCGGUGUAGCGGUGAAAUGCGUAGAGAUCGGGAGGAACACCUGCGGCGAAAGCGGCUCACUGGACCAUAACUGACGCUGAUGCACGAAAGCUAGGGGAGCAAACAGG
rnacentral:rRNA from 1 species